rnacentral:lncRNA from 1 species
UUCCUCUCCCUUCAUGGUAGCUUCGAAGAUUCUCAAAACUUCGAAAAGCUUGAAAGCAACUGUGGUUUCAAACGGAACCCAUUUUGGGGGAACGGUAUAUUCCUCCGGCGUUGUCCGAAUUUCAUAAUCAUUGUUCAAUCCCGGUACAGGUCCGGUGAAACCCAGAAACGCAGCGAUGAAUAUGCUGAAAUGACCUGACGGAAUGUUGAAUUUUGAAGCAAUUGAAGGAACCCAGUAAGAAGUAAAAUCGAAGAGUAUAAAAUCAAGAUCUGAAUCUUCGAGAAACUUAGCCAUGGAUUCUUCAAGUCCAUCUUGAGCAAGUUUGAGGUAUUUGACUUGCUCAUAAGGUACAUCGAUGGUGGCUUCUGCAUUUUCCGGCAACCUUUCCACAUGGGGCAUAGGAAGUUUGACAAAAUUUAAAAAGGGGAUAAGAUUUGGUGGAAGUUUUGGGAGACGAUCAAUGUUUCUAGGAGUCGAAAUAAAGGAAAUUCUAUGACCCUUUUGAGCUAUGAGCUUUGAGAGCUCUAAAUACGGAAUCAUAUGGCCAAAAGCUAACCAUGGAAAUACUGCAAUAUGCAAUUUUUUGCUAUUUUCCGCCAUUUUUGUUUGCUGUGUAGAGCUCUAUCACGACGGAAAAAUGAGGUAAGAAUGCCUCACAAGUCUCCAAUUAAAAAAAAGGGACUUCUCAUAUAUUUUAGUAAAAUUUUAGGUAUUUUGAGGUAAAAAAUAUGGGAUAAAAGUAUGUUUGGGGCUGUUGUGAAAAGAUUUUUUAAAUUUCAUUAAUAUUAAUUAUAUAUUUGUCACUUCUACCUAAUAUUUAAAACUUGGAGGACUCCUACCUAAUUAACAAACUACUUUGUCACUUUUAAUACACUAUCCCCUCUAUGACCUUAUAUUUGUCAUCAUUUUAGUUUACGGUAUUUUUAUCUUGAUGGUUGGCUGAUUGAUUUUUCCACACAGAAGAUAUUUUCACGUGUUGUCAAUCCACUUGCAUUUUGAGUGACAUUUAUUGCGGAGAUAAUAGAUAUCCGAUAAAUAAUCUAGGUGUAUAUAAAUAAGUCCGGAGCCAAAAGUGUAAAAAAAAAAAUUGUCAAAUUUUUUAAAAGGGCAACAAAAUUUAACCACUUUAUAAAGAUUUUGAUUUUGAUUCUAUAAAGAAAAAUCAAAACACAAAAAGAUAAUUAAGUAGAUACAUUUUUUUCUUAACCUAUUGAGAGAGUUGGGUGGUAGAUAUAUAACUAUAAUGUUUGAAAAUGUGUACAAGUUCAUUUAAUUUUUUUUGUUAUAAAUAAAAAAUUCAAUAAUAAAAUUACUAGCAUCAUAUUCAUGUAAAUCUAGUAUUUUUGGUAGAUAUAUAACUAUAAUGUUUGAAAAUGUGUACAAGUUCAUUUAAUUUUUUUUGUUAUAAAUAAAAAAUUCAAUAAUAAAAUUACUAGCAUCAUAUUAAUGUAAAUCUAGUAUUUUUGAAGGGUAGUAUAUGUUUAUGGGUAAAACUCCACAACAAAUAGUAUGUUUAAAAUCCAAAAUUAUAAAAAUAUAAAUUUGGAACUAGAAACUUAAAGAUUGAACCAAUAAAGUUUAAAUCUUGAAAUCAUAUGUUCGACUAUAAUAAUUUAUCGUAGAGAAAAAGGUUUUGGACUUUUCUUUUUAUCAAUGAUGGAGUUCUUUAAAAUGACAAAAUUGUCUUUGGUUGACAUGGACAAUGAAUGAGAAGAGGUGUAAAUAUUGGGAUUAGUUGAGAGUAUUUUUGGUAGUUUUGGAGACUUGGACAAUUAAAGAGAUUUUUUUUUAAUUUGACAGCAGGUCACAGAGUACCUGCGCCUUGCAAGGCGCAGACUGUCAGAGCCUUGCAAGGCGCAUGGAAUUCCGCGUCUUGCGACUGUCAACCUAAUUUCAACGAUGUUAGUUCAAUCGUUAAAAAGUUGCCCUUUUAAAUAUUUUGGCAAUUUUUUUACCCUUUUGACUUCGGACUCGUAUAUAAAUUGAUCUGAAAUCACAAUUAAGGAAAGGAAGAUGCAAAAACCCUAGUUUUUCUUCCCAUUUCAUGCUUUAAUCAUCUUAUAAAUUUUGAAGAAAAUUUAACAAACUCUCCACAUAAUUAUCUUGUCUAUUCUCGUCACAAAAAAAAUCUUUCACCUCGUUAAUCUCUUCUCGGAAAAUUUCACCCUUUUUUUCAACGGGUACCAAACAUAGUGACUCAGUCACCGCAUCAGGAGUGAAUGAUCCAUCCCAAUCAUUUCUCGGUAUCAAAUACGUCAUCUUCUUCUCCUCCAAUAACCUAUCAUUUAUCCCUUGAUCAGCCAAAAAUGUCAACAAAACCAAUGGUUUCUCGAAUUGUAUUGCUUCAACUAUUGAACUUCAUCCUGAAUGAGUCAAAAUUCACCCACUGAGUCUUGAUAAAAUGAAACUUUUCGUCGUUAUCUAAUGAUUAAUUUAAACAAUACUAUACAAAUAAGUAACAAUCAAAACAAAUACUCCCUCCGAUUAAAAAAGAAUGACUUGCUUUCCUUUUUGGCCCGUUUCAAAACGAAGGUACCUUUUUUGGCAAUAUGUUAAAUUCAACUUUCCACAUAACAUGUUUAAAACCACAUGAUCAAAGAGCAUUUUGAUACAUUUGACAUAACUUUAAUUUGAGACCACAAGAUUCAAAAGUCUUCUUUAUUUUCUUAAACUCUAUGUCAAGUCAAAACAUGUCAUUCCUUUUAAAACGAAGAGAAUAUGAUAUUUAAAUUAAUAAUACAAUACAACUGAUAACAAUCAUCCACCAACAUGGGUUGUGGUCCAUUGGUGGGAGUGCUUCACCCUUAACCAGAGGUCUCGGGUUCGAGCCCUUGCGAGCGCCACUCCCAAAUGGGCCCUGCAGUGCGCGAUCCAAAUUUAAUCGGGGCUCCAAUGUGAGUUUCGGACACCGGGUGGGAAACCAAAAAAAAAAUAACAAUCAUCCAAAACAAGGUGUUAGGAAGGCCUUAGUCGGGGCUCCAAUAUGUGGGCUUUAGACACUGGAUGAAAAACCAAAAAAAUAAAUAACAAUCAUCCAAAUAAGGUUUUAAGAAGGCCAAAGGGUUAAAAUAGUAUUUUGCGUCCCUUGGUAGGGGCAGAGAAAGAGAAAGAGAACAAGAUGGUGGGAGAGGUGAUGGCGACAACUAGUUUUCUGAAAAAGUGCUAACCUUAACUCAAAUAAAAAUCAAAGCAAUCUUUACACAUUUACAAUAUAUUUUGUUAAUAUAUAUAAUACAUAAAAGAUAAAGAAGCAUCAUUAUUCAUUGACAUAAUUUAUUGAGGUGUACAUAAAUUAAUCUGAAAUCACAAUUAUCGAAAAGUGCAUGCAAAUCUAAAUGUUUCUUCCUAUUUUAUGCUUUAAUCUUUUUAUAAUUUUGAAGAAACCUUAACAAAUUCUCCACAUAAUUAUCUUGUCUUUUCUUGUCGCAACAAAGAUUCUUCACCUCUUUAAUCUUUUGCCGAUAAAUCUCACCCUCUUUUUCAACGAGUACCAAACUCAAUGACUCAACCACCGCAUCACGAGUGAACGAUCCGUCCAAAUCAUUUCUCGGUAUCAAAUACGCUACCUUCUUUUCCUCCAAGAGUCUAGCAUCUAUCCCUUGAUCAGCCAAAAAUGUCAACAAAAUCAAUGGUUUCUCGAAUUGUAUUGCUUCAACUACUGAACUCCAUCCUGCAUGAUUCAAAAAUCCACCCACUGAGUCAUGACUCAGUAUUUUAAGUUGUGGCACCCAACUCGUGUACACUAUUCCUCUUCCCUUCGUUCGUUCUUCGAAACCUUCAGGUAAUUGAAUCAAUUCAUCAUCAGAUUCUCCUCUUUUAGUUCUUAAAACCCAAAAAAAAGGUAACCCAGAAAGCUCUAAGCCUAGUGAUAACUCAGUGAGUUCAUUUUGACUUAGUUUUGUCUCGCUCCCAAAUGCCACAUAAAUCACUUUCCCUUUUUCUUGCUUAUCAAGCCAUUGUUUUAUUUCUCUCCACGCGUCAAUAUUUGUGUCGUCAUCUUCAUAUGAUGUCGUCGGAAGUUGGCCCACCGGGAUCACCGGUUUCAGGUGAAUAUCCUCUACUACUUUCAGCCAUUCUGGUUCAAAUUCUAAACAACUCCUCACAAGCAAAAAAUCACAAUUUUCAAAAGUCUUAUACAUACGAGAAAUAUCAUAAAUGUUCUCUUCCUCACCGUCCUUGCAACCUUCAUAGAUUCUCAAAAGUUCAAACUCCUUGAAAGCAACCGCGGUUUCAAACGGAACCCAUUUUGGGGAAACUGUCAAUUCCUCCAUCGUCAUCCGAAUUCCAUAGUUGUUGUUCAAUCCCGGCACAGGUCCGGUGAAACCUAGAUAUGCGGCGAUGAAUAUGCUGAAAUAACCUGUCGGAAUGUUGAAUUUUGAAGCAAUUGAAGGAACCCAAUAAGAGGUAAAAUCAAAGAGUAUGAAAUCAGGAGCUGAAUCUUCGAGAAACUUAGCCAUGGGUUCUUUGAGUUCAUCUUGAGCAAGUUUGAGGUACUUGACUUGCUCAUAAGGUAAAUCAAUAGUGGCUUCUGCAUUUUUUGGUAAUUUUUCAACGUGGGGAAGGGGAAUUUUGACGAAAUUUAUGAAGGGGACGAGACUUGGCGGAAGUUUUGGGAGACGAUCAAUGUUUCUUGGAGUAGAAAUAAAGGAAAUUUUGUGACCCUUUUGAGCUAUGAGCUUUGAUAGCUCCAAAUACGGAAUCAUAUGGCCAAAAGCUAGCCAUGGAAAUACUGCAAUAUGCAAUUUUUUGCUGUUUUCUGCCAUUUUUAUGUGUUUUGUAGAGCUUUGUUUCAUGGACUAAUUAUAUUUGUUAAUGGUUAUGUAGAGCUACUCUUAUAUUGAUGAUUGGCUGAUUGUUUGCCACCUUUAAAAUGCUAUGAUAAUCUUAUCUAUUUGCUUGCAUUUAUGAGUGUCCUUUUUUGCCUCUGUUUGGACGGGUAUCAUUAUAUAAUGUCGUACAUUAAUAAUUUGAAUGAUAAGUUUAUAAAAAUAUAAAUUAUUUGGUAGAGUUAUGGUAAAAAGGUAGGAUAACGAAUAAAAUAAGAUUAUUAUGUAAAUAAUGAAAAAAUAUUAAGAUAAUGACGAUAUCACACCAUAUCGAUCAUUAUACAAAAUGAAACUUUUUAUCGUUACCAAAUAAUGAAUUUAAACGAUAGAUACAAUAAAAUUUAAGUAACAAUCAAAACAAAUAUGAUAUUUAAACUAACAAUAUAAUACUAUAGGUAACAACCAUCCAAACAAUGUGUUAGGAAAGGCAAAGGGUUAAAAUAGUAUUUUGUGUCGCAUAUGCAAGUUGUUUGACAUGUUCCUUUUCAAUAGUGAUGAGGUACGGUGGGGGUGGGGGCCGAGAGAGAAAAACAAAAUGGUGGUGGAGGGGACGGAUGCAGAGUCAGAAGCUUAGAGGUUCUAAAUUUUAGGAUAUUUUUUUAAGAUGUGGUUCAAACACACAACUCUGGUGGGGAUAAUAUUUUCACAGCCCCUUCCUUGUAAUAUAUAUAUAUANNNNNNNNNNNNNNNNNNNNNNNNNNNNNNNNNNNNNNNNNNNNNNNNNNNNNNNNNNNNNNNNNNNNNNNNNNNNNNNNNNNNNNNNNNNNNNNNNNNNNNNNNNNNNNNNNNNNNNNNNNNNNNNNNNNNNNNNNNNNNNNNNNNNNNNNNNNNNNNNNNNNNNNNNNNNNNNNNNNNNNNNNNNNNUGUAUAAUAUAUAUAUAUAUAUAUAUAUAUAUAUAUAUAUAUAUAUAACUUGCUAAUACAAAUACAGGAUCCACGAAAAAGCUAUUGAGUUCAUCAGAACCCCACUUAGCUCGGCUCUUGAUGAUGGUGACAACUCACAAUGGGUUACGGAGAGCAAAAAUGAAAAAAGGGUGAUUAGUGAUGGAGAUAGUGAGAGACGAAUUUAGUGUUCUUAAUUAUUUGCCAUUUAAAUAUAAGAAAAAAGCUUAAUCUAUUUUAAUAACGAUGAUAACAAAUUAUGGCAUAUUUAGAUCGAUUAUAACACAUGAACAUAUGACAUUUUUAAUUCAAAUUUGAAAAAACUUUCUCUAUGUUUUAUAAGCAAGUUAUUUAGUACUUGGAUUAGAAAGUGAUAGGACCAGAUUUUAUUAAAAUUUACCCUUUCUAAAAGGACCAAAACAGAAUCCGAGUUUGGUCCAAAAGUGACCCGGCCCAUAUAAAUAACAAAACAAAGUUACAGCCUACGUAGAUAAACAAGAAGAGAAAACAAAAAAAAAUUGCUUUUAUUCAAUAUUGUUUUAAAAUCUUCUUUAAAUAUCACCACGCACCAAUGAUUAUAUAUUGAUAGCAUAAAAAUAUUUAUAGUAUUGUUAGCAUAUAUGAAUUAUAAACUCAUUAAAUUUUCAUUGUUUACUUAAAAUGAAGUUAAAUUUGUUACCUCUUAUAGUCGAAGACGAAUUCUCACCCUCUUUUUUUAAUGGUACCAAACUCAGUGACUCAGCCACCGCAUCACAAGUGAUCAUAUCCCAAUCAUUUCUCGGUAUUAAAUACGUCAUCUUCUCCUCCUCCAAAAACCUAACAUUUAUCCCUUGAUCAGUGAAAAAUGUUAACACAAAUAAUGAUUUCUUUAAUUGGAUUGCGUUAACCACUGAACCCCGUUCCAAAUGAGUAAAACAUGCACCCACUGAGUCAUGACUCAAUAUCUUAAGUUGUGGUGCCCAACUCGUGCAUACAAUUCCUCUUCCUUUUGUUCGUUCUUUUAAACCUUCUAAUAAGUGAAUCAAUUCAUCAUCAGAUUCUCCUCUUUUAGUUCUUAAAACCCAGAAAAAGGGGAACCUUGAAAACUCUAACCCGAAUGGUAACCCAGUGAGUUCAUUUUAGACUUUGUUUUGCCUUGCUCCAAAAUGCCACAUAAAUCACUGUUCUUUUUCUUGUUCAUCAAGCCAUAGUUUUAUCUCUCUCCACACUUCGAUUUUUGUGUUGUCAUCUUCAUAUGAUGUCAUCGAAAGUUGGCCCACCGGGAUCAUCGAUUUUUGGUGAAUAUCCACUAUACUUUUAGUCAUUUUGGUUCAAAUUCUGAACAACUCGAUCCUCACAAUUGUCAUAGUUUUCAAAAGUCUUAUACAUACGAGAAAUAUAAAAAAUGUUCUCUGCCUCACUGUCCUUGCAACCUUCGUAGAUUCUCCAAACUUCAAAUACCUUGAAAGCAACCCCAGUUUCAAACGGAACCCAUUUUGGGGAAACGAUGAAUUCCUCUAGCAUCUUCCGAAUUUCAUAGUCGUUGUUCAAUCAUGGUACAAGUCCGGUGAAACCCAGAUACGUAGCGCUAGCAGUGAAUAUGCUAAAAAGCUCAUUGGAAUGUUGAAUUUUGAUGCAAUUGAAGUAAAAUUGAAAAGUACAAAAUCAGGAGUUAAAUCUUCAAGAAACUUAGCCAUAUGUGUUUUGAGUUCAUCUUGAGCAAGUUUGAGGUUUAUGACUUGCUCGUAAGGCAAAUCAUUGGUGGCUUAUGCAUUUUCUGAUAACUUUUCGACGUGGGGCAGAGGAAUUUUGACGAAACUUAAAGAAGGAGGCGAUAUUUGGGGAAGUUUUGGGAGAUGAUCAUGUUUCUAGAAAUAGAAAUGAAGGAAAUUGUGUAACCCUUUCGAGCUAUGAGCUUUGAAAGCUCCAAAUACGGAAUCAUAUGGCCAAAAAGCUAGCCAUGAAAAUAUUGCAAUAUUCAUAAUGACCAAUGCAAGUGAAUUCAUAGCGUUUUAAAAUCAUUUUCUAGGUGGGAAGAUAUUAAGCACCCACGAGUGUGACAGUAAAUCUAGCAUGGUACUCCAUAACUCUAACACAAUCACAUUAAUCGACUUAUAUUUGACUCAGGGUUAUAUUUUGGAUAAAUUAUGUUUUCAUUAACUCUUACCUAUUUUUGCCUUAUUGAUUUUUUUUAGAAAUCCGACAUAUAUUUUUAGCCAAAAAGUAUAAUCGCAUACAAAGUCAAUUAUUUAUAAGAGAUGACCAAGGAGCGUACCACACACAUGGUCAAACUUGAUUUAUUUAAUACUCCAUAAAAUAAUCGAGGUGUACAUGAAUUGAUCUGAAAUCACAAUUAUUGAAAGGUGUAUGAAAACCCAAGUGUUUCUUCCCAUUUCAUGCUUUAAUCUUUUCAUAAUUUUGAAGAAAACUUAACAAAUUCUCCACAUAAUUAUUUUGCCUUUCCUUGUCACAGAAAAGAUCUUUCAUCUCUUUAAUCUUUUCUUGAUAAAUAAAACCCUCUUCUUUAACGAGUACCAAAUUCAGUGACUUAGCCACUGAGUCACAAGUGAACGACCCGUCUUGAUCAUUUCUCGGUAUCGAAUACGCCAUCUCCUUCUCCUCCAAAAGCCUAGCAUUUAUCCCUUGAUCAGCCAAAAAUGUUAAGAGAACCAAUGAUUUCUCAAAUUGUAUUGCCUCGACUACUGAACUCCAUCCUGAAUGAGUCAAAAAUCCACCCACUGAGUCAUGACUCAGUAUCUUGAGUUGUGGCGCCCAACUAGUGCACACUAUUCCUCUUCCCUUCGUUCGUUCUUCGAAACCUUCAGGUAAUUGAAUCAAUUCAUCAUCGGAUUCCCCUCUUUUAGUUCUUAAAACCCAAAAGAAUGGCAACCCAGAAAGCUCUAACCCGAGUGAUAACUCAGUGAGUUCAUUUUGACUUGGUUUCGCCUCGCUACCAAAUGCCACGUAAAUCACCUUCCCCUUCUCUUGCUCAUCAAGCCACAGUUUUAUCUCUCUCCAUGCAUCGAUUUUCGUGUUGUCAUCUUCAUACGUUGUUGUCGAAAGUUGGCCUACCGGAAAAACCGGCUUCCGGUGGAUAUCUCCGACAACUUUCAACCAUUCCGGUUCAAAUUCCGAACAGCUCCUCACAAGCAAAAAAUCAGAGUGUUCAGCAGCUUUAUAGAUACGAAAAAUAUCAGAAACGUUCUCUUCCUCUCCCUUCAUGGAAGCUUCGAAGAUUCUCAAAACUUCGAAAAGCUUGAAAGCAACGGUGGUUUCAAACGACACCCAUUUUGGGGGAACGGUGUAUUCCUCUGGCGUCUUCCGAAUUUCAUAAUCAUUGUUCAAUCCCGGCUCAGGUCCGACGAAACCUAGAACCGCAGCGAUGAAUAUGCUGAAGUAACCUGUCGGAAUGUUGAAUUUUGAAGCAAUUGAAGGAAUCCAAUAAGAAGCAAAAUCAAAUAGUAUAAAAUCAAUAUCUGAAUCUUCGAGAAACUUAGCCAUUGAUUCUUUGAGUGCAUCAUGAGCAAGUUUGAGAUACUUCACUUGCUCAUAAGGUAAAUCAAUGGUGGCUUCUGCAUUUUCCGGUAACUUUUCCACAUGGGGCAUUGGAAGUUUGACGAAAUUUAAAAAGGGAGUAAGAUUUGGUGGAAGUUUUGGGAGACGAUCAAUGUUUCUAGGAGUCGAAAUAAAUGAAAUUUUAUGACCCUUUUGAGCUAUAAGCUUUGAUAGCUCUAAAUACGGAAUCAUAUGACCAAAAGCUAGCCAUGGAAAUACUGCAAUAUGCAAUUUUUUGCUGUUUUCCGCCAUUUUUGUAUGCUAUGUAGAGCUCUGUUUCAUGGACGUUAUAUAUUCAUGAAUCUCAAGAUUAGUCCAAUUAUUAAGAUUAGAAAGAAUUAUUUUUCAAUUCCCAAUUGUAUUUUUUUAUUCUUAUAUUGUCUUUUUGAAUCGAAUCGUAUCAAAAAUUUUAAUAUAUAGUUGGUUGAUUUUUCCAAGAAAAAGAUUUUAAAAUGUUAUCAAUCUACGUGCAUUUUGAGUGUCUUUUUAGUAAGGCAAAAGGGUCAAAGUUGUCCAAUGUGAAAUAGAUUAUUUAUAUCUUUCGUUAUAUUUUGGAAUAAAAAUAUCUUGCUGUUAUUCCAAGAUAUUACAAAUACUCUCAAGAGUUAAUAGACUAAUUUUUUUGUGAUGUGCUGUCAUAUAGGACUAAUCCUUUCACCUAUUCGUCCCCAACUCUUGAAGAUAUUUGUGGUUUCUUGAAAUAACGAUGAGACGUCUUUGAUCCCCCAAAAUAUAAACGAGGAUAUAAAUGAUCUAUUUCGUAUUAUUCAGAGAAAAUUUUGACCUUUUCCGACAUAUUUAUAACAAAACAGAAAAUUUCUAUUUUGGUGUGUUGCACCUUAUAAAUAUGGGGGUCAAAGAUAUUUUCUGCACAAUAAGAUGAGUUAUCAAACUUUUUGGAAUAUCAAAUUUGUUUUGGCAAAAACGAACUGGAAAUUUGCAAGACAUCAAUCACUGGCCAACUUUUUGUUACAAAGUGGAGAAACUCAGACCAUAUCAGAGAUGGAAGCAAGUCAUAUGGAGUUUUCCACCAGUUGGCUAUAUAAAAAUUACUCCCUCCGUACCAUUUUAUGUGAUAUCAUUUCCUUUUUUGUCAAUUCCAAAAACAAUGUCACAUUUUCUUAUAUGGUAAGUAUUUAAAGGUACAAUUCCUCUUUUACCCUUGUUAGUUCCACUUAAUCUUAAAGUUAGUAGUACUUCAAUACAUUUAUGAGGAGAGAGAAAAGUGAGUCUAUUUUUUAAUAUGACUAUUUUUUGAAGGGACAAUUUGGUAAAGAUUUCAAACUCUUCAUUUAUUUCUUAAACUCCGUGUCCGAUCAAAUGUUGUCACAUAAAAUAGGACGGAGAGAGUAAUAAAGAUGGUAGCUAUUUGCAUGAAACUGGAAAGGCUGGCAUUGGUGGAAUUGUAAGAGAUAGUUGGGAGACUUGAUCAUGGCUUUUUCCAUUUCUGUCAACUGUAAUAAUAGUAACAUGGCUGAGUCUAUGGCAGCUGAGUUUGGUGUAAAAUGGUGCUAUCAUCAUGGGUACACUGAUUCUAACACAAUCACAUUUAUGAACUUAUACUUGACUAUAGCACGUAAAUCUAGCAUUAGUACCAUUUUUGCCUUAUUAUGUUUUUUUAGAAAUGUGACAUAUAUUUUUAGCCAAAAAGUGUAACCCCACACAAAAUCAUUUAUUUAUAAGAGAGGGGCCAAGGAGCGCACCACACACAUGGUCAAACUUGAUUUAUUUAAUACUUCAUAAAAUAAUUGACGUGUACAUGAAUUAAUCUGAAAUCACAAUUAAGGUGUAUGAAAACCCAAGUGUUUCUUCCCAUUUCAUGCUUUAAUCUUUUCAUAAUUUUGAAGAAAACUUAAAAAAUUCUCCACAUAAUUAUUUUGCCUUUCCUUGUCACAGAAAAGAUCUUUCAUCUCUUUAAUCUUUUCUCGAUAAAUAAAACCCUCUUUUUUAACGAGUACCAAAUUCAAUGACUCAGCCACUGAGUCACGAGUGAACGACCCGUCUUGAUCAUUUCUCGGUAUCGAAUAUGCCAUCUCCUUCUCCUCCAAAAGCCUAGCAUUUAUCCCUUGAUCAGCCAAAAAUGUUAAGAGAACCAAUGAUUUCUCAAAUUGUAUUGCCUCGACUACUGAACUCCAUCCUGAAUGAGUCAAAAAUCCACCCACUGAGUCAUGACUAAGUAUCUUGAGUUGUGGUGCCCAACUCGUGCACACUAUUCCUCUUCCCUUUGUUCGUUCUUCGAAACCUUCUGGUAAUUGAAUCAAUUCAUCAUCGGAUUCCCCUCUUUUAGUUCUUAAAACCCAAAAGAAUGGCAACCCAGAAAGCUCUAACCCGAGUGAUAACUCAGUAAGUUCAUUUUGACUCGGUUUUGCCUCGCUACCAAAUGCAACGUAAAUAACUUUCCCCUUUUCUUGCUUAUCAAGCCAUAGUUUUAUCUCUCUCCAUGCAUCGAUCUUCGUGCUGUCAUCUUCAUACGGAGUUGUCGGAAGUUGACCCACCGGAAUAACCGGUUUCCGGUGAAUAUCUCCGACAACUUUCAACCAUUCUGGUUCAAAUUCUGAACAGCUCCUCACAAGCAAAAAAUCACAGUUUUCAACAGAUUUAUAGUAACGAAUAAUAUCAGCAAUGUUCUCUUCCUCUCCUUUCAUGGAAGCUUCGAAGAUUCUCGAAACUUCAAAAAACUUGAAAGCAACUGUGGUUUCAAACGGAACCCAUUUUGGGGUAACAGUGUAUUCCUCCGGCGUCAUUCGAAUUUCAUAAUCAUUGUUCAAUCCCGGCACAGGUCCGGUGAAACCCAGAAACGCAGCGAUGAAUAUGCUGAAAUAUCCGGACGGAAUGUUGAAUUUUGAAGCAAUUGAAGGAACCCAAUAAGAAGUAAAAUCAAAUAGUAUAAAAUCAAUAUCUGAAUCUUCGAGAAACUUA